rnacentral:rRNA from 1 species
UACGAAGGGGGCUAGCGUUGUUCGGAAUUACUGGGCGUAAAGGGCCAGUAGGCGGCCAACUAAGUCGGAUGUGAAAUCCCCAGGCUUAACCUGGGAACUGCAUCCGAUACUGGAUGGCUUGAAUUCGGGAGAGGGAUGCAGAAUUCCAGGUGUAGCGGUGAAAUGCGUAGAUAUACUGGAGGAAUACCCGUGGCGAAAGCGGCUCUCUGGAACGGUACUGACGCUGAGACGCGAAAGCGUGGGGAGCGAACAGGG